rnacentral:rRNA from 1 species
UACGUAGGUGGCAAGCGUUGUCCGGAUUUACUGGGCGUAAAGAGCGCGCAGGCGGCUGGCCAAGUCCGAUGUGAAAUCUCCCGGCUUAACUGGGAAACUGCAUCGGAAACUGACCGGCUUGAAGGUGGGAGAGGGUAGUGGAAUUCCCGGUGUAGUGGUGAAAUGCGUAGAUAUCGGGAGGAACACCCAGGGGGAAACCAGUCGACUGGGCAUCUACUGACGCUGAGGUGCGAGAGCGUGGGGAGCGAACCGG